rnacentral:rRNA from 1 species
GUGCCAGCCGCCGCGGUAAUACGUAGGGCGCAAGCGUUGUCCGGAAUUAUUGGGCGUAAAGAGCUCGUAGGCGGUUUGUCGCGUCUGCUGUGAAAUCCUCAGGCUCAACCUGGGGCUUGCAGUGGGUACGGGCAGACUAGAGUGCGGUAGGGGUGACCGGAAUUCCUGGUGUAGCGGUGGAAUGCGCAGAUAUCAGGAGGAACACCGAUGGCGAAGGCAGGUCACUGGGCCGCAACUGACGCUGAGGAGCGAAAGCAUGGGGAGCGAACAGGAUUAGAUACCCUGGUAGUCCAUGCCGUAAACGUUGGGCACUAGGUGUGGGGUCCAUUCCACGGAUUCCGUGGCCGCAGCAAACGCAUUAAGUGCCCCGCCUGGGGAGUACGGCCGCAAGGCUAAAACUCAAAGAAAUUGACGGGGGCCCGCACAAGCGGCGGAGCAUGCGGAUUAAUUCGAUGCAACGCGAAGAACCUUACCAAGGCUUGACAUACACCGGAAAAGUGCAGAGAUGUGCUCCCCGUAAGGUCGGUGUACAGGUGGUGCAUGGUUGUCGUCAGCUCGUGUCGUGAGAUGUUGGGUUAAGUCCCGCAACGAGCGCAACCCUCGUCCCAUGUUGCCAGCGGGUUAUGCCGGGGACUCAUGGGAGACUGCCGGGGUCAACUCGGAGGAAGGUGGGGAUGACGUCAAAUCAUCAUGCCCCUUAUGUCUUGGGCUUCACGCAUGCUACAAUGGCCGGUACAAAGGGCUGCGAUACCGUAAGGUGGAGCGAAUCCCAAAAAGCCGGUCUCAGUUCGGAUCGGGGUCUGCAACUCGACCCCGUGAAGUCGGAGUCGCUAGUAAUCGCAGAUCAGCGACGCUGCGGUGAAUACGUUCCCGGGCCUUGUACACACCGCCCGUCAAGUCAUGAAAGUCGGUAACACCCGAAGCCGGUGGCCCAACCUUUGGGGGGGAGCCGUCGAAGGUGGGACUGGCGAUUAGGAAUAAGUCGUAACAAGGUAACC